UUUACAAGUCUACGAAUUUUGGCCCUCUUUUGACGGGGGGUGGGGUCAUAGGGUGAGAGCCAAUCAAAACAUCGCUUACUGCCAACCAAUCAGGCUUCGCCAGGACUGACUGAAAACAACGUGGAUCUAACCACAGCACAGGCAGGCAGCAGAAGGACGCAAUCUCUCUUUCUUGUGAAGACCGAUAUGGAGGAGUCACACACAAUCAGGUUCGGGUGGUUAAAAAUUUGCUCCUCCAUCCCCACCACCACCAGGUUGGUCCAGUCUACCUGUCUGCGGGGUUAAAGGUCCGCUUCCUGCUGCACAGCUACAUCAGGCUCUACUGGCGCAAGAAGACCCGGGCUGAUGAUUGGACCUACACCAAAGACUGUCUACCUUCUGUUAAAUGCAUAGUCAAUUAUCUUCUCAUUAAAUCGCAUUUAACUAA